CUCGCCGCAGCUAGAGAAAGCCCACGUGCAGCAACAAAGACCCAACGCAGCCAAAGAUAAAAAGGAAAAACAAAAAAAAGCCUUGUUGUUAGAAAGCCACUAGGAGCUGAAAAAGGCAAGAAAUUAAUUUUCCCCUCAGAGUCUACUGAAGAAACCAGUCCUUUCCACACUCUGACAUUCGUCCAUUGAAACUGAUUCUGGACUUCUCAUCUCCAGAGCUGUAACAUAAAUUUAAGUUGUUUUAAGUCACUAAGGGUUUUGGUAAUUAGUUACAGCAGCAGUAGUAAACUAAUACACCUGGGUUAUUUGUUAAAUGUACAAAUUACCAUUCUUCUCCCCUGUAAAUUCUGAUUCCAUUGGUCUGAGUGGGAAGCCCAGGAAUCUGUUUUCUAACAAAGGUCCAGGUGAUUUUUACCUUCAGACAAAUUUUGGAACUACUACUGUAGUGGAUUGUGAUAGCCCAGCCAAAUUCCUCAUCACCAAUUUUCUGGGAACAGACCCCAUCUGCUUGCUUUGAUUUGCAUGUGGAGACAUGACCAAGGAUUGAUGAAUCCUGGAACUCACCUGAGUGUUUGAGACUGGUCCAUGGGUGGACAUAUGGCUCACACUGGCCAAUCACAAUCCUUCUCUGUGAAUUUAUACAUGGAAGCCGUGCUUUUUCUUUGUGCUGGGAUGGCUAUGCUAGGAUGGAUCAUUGGCCUGCCUUUGCUGGCAACCAUCUCUGACUACACGGAGGAAGCCCAUCUGCAGUAGGAAAGGGGAUAACAAACAGAGGAGAGCAGAGUUAAAAGUUAGAAGGAGAGAGAGGGAAAACUCUGAUUCCUCUGAGCUGUGGAACCAGUUGCAUCUGAUGCUGGUACCAUCCCUGUUCUUUGGACUUAUAAGAAAUCGAUAAAUUCUGUUAUUGUUCAAGCUCACUGAAUGGGUAUUCAGUCCUCUGAAAUAUAAAGGCUCCUAGCUAUCAUACUGGGGUGUUAUGUGGAAUAGAUCCCUUACAUUGUCUGGCUUUCUCUUCACCCCUUUCUAUGUCCAACAUCAAAUGUUUCAUACUUGUCUAUGCCAGUUUACACUCAUCUGAUCAGAAUAUAUACGCUAACUGCAUGGAGAUUUUAGUCAUUCUGUCUCUACCACUCACGCUAACUCCUUUACAUCAUAAACCAAGUAAAGUCCGUGCCCAUCAGCUGUAUGUUCAGGCUACUUCUCUUUCUACUUCUGAUCCUGUUCCCUCCUAACUAUUUAGUGACAAGAAAUUCUGGGGUGGUGGCUCUCUUCCAGUAAAAACAGACUCUUCAAAACUAUGAUUGCUUUUAUUCAAAGUUCUGUCUACAAAAAUAUUGUCUGCUGCCACAUUAUGUGGGGUUUCAUAGGCAUCUUUAGCUUGAAGUAAGGAGCAAAGAGGUUGAGUACUUGAUUGGAAGAUUCCCCGCCACUAUUCAAGUUAGUUCUUCAAUGAUUGUUUUUGAUCUUUCAAUCCCAAAGUUUCUCAGUUCUAGCAGAUGCAGUUAAACACAGUUAUCUGCAACAUUUUCCUGGUAUAAAUCUUCAUUGCCAAGGGGAUGGGCCUAUAGCAUUACAAACUGGGACUGACCAAAGGAGCCUUUACACACAGACCACCGUUGGCGAGUACUGUCAGGUCCUUCAUACAGUCUGGCUGUAAAACUUGGUGGAAGAAUUCCUAACUUUUCCCUCUGCCCGGAGAGUGGAAAAGGACACUGGCUAAUAGUCAGAAAACUGAGUAUAGUCUUGGCUCUGCCAUUUAUUACCACUUAGUAAACUUAGGCAAGUCAGUUAACACCUCUUGGUUCUAAUUUCUUCAUCUAUAAAAUGAGAUUCAUGAUACUCCCCUACCUGCCUACCUUACUGGGUGAUUGUAAACAUUAAAUAAGGUAUACAGACAUAAGGUAUUAUUAUGCACUAAAACAAAUGUAAAAUUUAAUAAUGGAACCCUACUCCUAGACAUCUUUAUUUAAACCUGGGAUUGUAGAAUUGUGACUAUUCUACUUCUAAGAUUGAAAAAGUGGAUUGCUUCUCAUAAAUCAAUUUAUUUAAUAUCCAUACAUUAUAAUGAGUUAGGAAUUAUGUGGGCUCAUAUACGGAGUAACAUCAAAUUUGGAAUAUCAGGAUAUUGCCAUAUGCAAAUGGUUGAAGAUUCAAAGUAUGGAUACACAUAACAACGUAAAUAGAUGCUACAAAUUUCUGCAACACAUGCCUAAAAACAGUCUUCAGCAGAUAUUUCUAAAUUCUGUCUAGAUUACAGCUUUUGAACAAAACAAAAGCCCAAUGGAUUUGGACCAGAGAUCUCUAAAAUCUCCUCCACCCCACAACUGUCUUUAUUUAGUACUAAAUUUAGAGCAGAUGGAGAAACCAGCAAGCAAGACAAUGCCUGCAUGUGUUAAUAAAUUAAUACCGCUGAGCCAAACCAGUAGAAGAAUCUUGAGUGGGCUCUACAUGUUAGCUGAGCUACAAAGAAUGCAGGGCUCCUGCUUUUGAGGAGUUUAUAGUCUAUAUAAUUUACAUAUGCUAUUGUUUACCAACAUUUUUUUGAGAACUUACUAUAUGCCAGGCACUAUUCUUAGUGUUUUACUCAUAUUGACCCAUUUAAUCCUCCCAACACCCCUGUGAGAUAGAUACUGUUAUAUUAUCCAGUUUACAGAGGAAGACACUGAAUCUCAUAGAAACUAAGUGACCUUGCCCAAGGUCACAUGCUACUGACAGAGCUAGGAUUUCAAACAUCGCACUCUUAGCCACCAUGCUAAACUGCUCUUCUAGAAAGGCAUAGAAAGGAAUAGAAUGUCCUAUGACUUCACUUCAUAUUUACUAUGAGGAUAUGGGCUGGGGGUACAGAGUGAAUUAUUUCCUUGAUUUCAUAUUGAAAACUGAUAGGGUCUCCCUGUCAUUCAGUUUAUAUACAUUUAUUCAUUCAACAGAUUUUUUUGAGUGUCUAUCUAGGUCAGGCUGCUCUGAUGAGAUGACAUUUGAGCAGAGACCGGAAGGAAAUGAGAGGGUGAGCUAUGAAUGUAGCUGGGGAUGGAAUGUUUCAAACUCAGGAAACAGUAAGUAGAAAAGCCCUAAGGUGGGCACACGCUUGGUGUGAGGAACAGCGAGGUGACAGAAAGAGCAGAGGGUGAUAGGAGAUGAGAUUGGAGCAGAGUGAGAUUUACCACGAAGCCAAUGACACUUGCCUGGACCUCUGUUCCUGAGGGGAAUUUUGGGAGUUGUGGAGAGUUCUAGAUGGGGUGGUGGAGCCAGGCUGCAAUCUGGAAGAAUCUCUGUGUAAGCACGUCUGAUAAAUUGCCUAAAGUGAUAUCAGAAGAAAGAGAUCUGAAUUAAAUUGUUGAGAUUUAUUUUCUAAUUCUAAAUUAACAUCAGUUCUGUAACUAAUUUUAUAUUUGUAGUUUGCAUUCUUUUCCUUAGCAAGGACCCACGUUCCUCUUUCCUUUCCCUCCUGUUCACCUAUGGUGUAAGCCUCAGGUUUGGCAAAAUCUGGGUCCCACCCUAGACCAGGGAGAUUGGAGGUGGCAGUGGAUAGGGCUGAUCACUUAGGGCCUGGUAGAACUUGGUUGGGAUUUUGACCUUUACUCUUGAGUGAGACGCAAUAUUAUUGGGGAAUUUUGAGCAGAGUAGUGAUGUGACCUUAAUUAUCUUUCUAAAGGAUCACUCUGACUGCUGAGCUUAAGGCGGACUGUGUAAAGAAGAACUGUACAGUUGAAAUACAAGGAGAACCACAUAUGUCAUUUUAAAUUGUUUGGUAGGCACAUUAAAAAAGUCAAGUGACAGAUUCACAGAUGAAGAAACUAAGGCAAAAGAGAGAUGAAAUAAUUUAUUCAAGACCACACUGCAGUUUUACUUCAGAGUUUGUGCUCCCAUCUACUACACCAGUGGUCCUCCCAAGACGAAGACUGCCACCAUGUCCUGACUGCUGGCCACCACACAGGAUGGGGUGUCGCUCCAGGACCUUGCUUCAGACGUGUAAGCUCCAUCCAUUAAACCAUUGACGUCUCUGUUGCUGACUCCGGGCUCUUUUAUUGGUCUUGAAGCUGGGCAAGCACAGGCCUUGUAGGCCUGUGUAGUGCAGCCCAAGACCAUUGAUAAAUAUUACUUAACACUAAAGCAUGACCAGGUUCAGUACCCAUACUAUCUCUAGUUUUCAUUUUUAUAGAUGUGAGCCCUGAGAAUCUUGUUUUAUAAGUGAGUAAAUGGGGAUGAAAAUAACUUUGUAAUAAUAAUGUUACUCAACUUUUCGAACCAUGUCCAAAUUGUGUACCCAAAAUUACAUAGCAAUUGGUGAUUGCCAGAGGCUGGGGGGACGGGGAAGCAGGGGGUUGUUGUUCAAUGGGUAUAAAGUUUCAGUCAUGCAAGAUGAAGAAGUACUUGAGAUCCAUUGUACAACAAUAUGUAUAUAGUUAACAAUACUGUAAUAUACACUUGAAAUUUGUUAGGGUAAAUUUAUAUUAUGUGGGUUUUUUGUGGGGUUUUUUAACCACAAUUACAGAAAAAAAAGAGUCAAGCCUGAUCCAUCAACUGAUGAACAGCUAAACAAAAUAUGGUAUA